UUCAGAACUCGUGGUUUGCAAUUCUAUAGAAAGUCAUAACAAAGUAUCAACUUACCAAACUAAACACAUAUAUUUAUCAAAUUCAGUAAACGAAAUGUUAUACCUCUUUCUGAAAACAUCGAUUUCUGGAACAUCGUUAGGUUCAAAAAUAAUUUUUGAAACCCAUCAUUGUUAAUCACAUUCUUUAAUCGACCAUAUCAUGGUAAAAAAAAAUGUAAGCAAAAUCAAAGACGAAAUUCAUGAUUUUUUUUUGUAUGUAGAAAAAUAGUAGGUUUUGAUGUGGAUGAAUUUCAGUCUACUGCUAUAUACAGAGAUCACUUAUAGGGUUUUGCUUAUGAAAGAUUAGAGAGAAAAGAGUAUUAUCUCGCCUAAAUCAAAUCGAAUUAAUCCCUAACUUUUACCUGCCAAUUUUAAAAUUAUGGAAAGUAAUAUAAUUAAGAAAUCAACAUAUAGGAAACAAAAUUAACUUUGUAAAUUAAUUUGAUUGAAUAUAACCAGAUUGACGUGUUGUGAUGGGUUGAGUCCUUAAUUUCAGAAUCUUAGUGCUUAAUCUAAGGAAUUGAAUAGAAUUUGUAUAUGACUUUAAAUUAAUAAAUAAUUGUAGCACAAAUUGUUCUAAUUUCCAUAUGAAUACUGGUCUGAGUCAAAACUUUCCUAUAAUAAUUUUUCGAAUGCUAAUUUGUGAAUAUAUAAUGGAAAGUAAAUAAAUUUAUUAAUAUUUGCCCAAUAUAUAUGGCAUUCAAUGUCGAUCUUCCGCGUUCUCGUGUGAAUCAAGAAAUAAUUUUUCGAAUUCCCAAUAUAUAUGGCAAUUAAUUUAUACAUUCAAUGAUUUGAAAUAUUGGGCAAAUAUUAUUAAAUUGCAUUGAAAAAUUGCCAUAUAUAUAGUCACUAAAUUUGUUUGCGCACCACCUAGUACAUACAAGAUUAAAAAGGAUUAGAUUAUGCAUUAUAUUAUAUAUAAUAUUUAAACUAUACGCUUACAUAGUACGUAUACCAUUAAAAAAGAAGUUAGAUUAUGCAUUAUAUUUAUGUAGUAAACUAUAGUUUAUUAGAAAUAUAGCAACUUUCUACAACGUUGAUCAAUAUAUGGUCCUAUUUUUUUCAAACUACGAAAUGUGUUAUCACUCCAUAUAAAACUCAUACACCAAUAUUACAUUUUAUAGAAUGUAAAUCAUCCAAUAAGAAAUAUAUGAAAUAAAAACUUGUUUACAAUGCGAUAAUGAUUACAAUACAGUUGACUAUUAUUGUUAGGUUGCAAAAAAAAAUACAGCCAAGAAAGAAUGAGAGGAUAUAAGUAUGAAAGCAAUAAAUACAUUUUUAAAACUCGCAUGAAAAUAAGAGAUAUACGUAUAAUCCAUCAAAAUCAAUUAUAUUAUGCAUAAACAUGAAACUUAAAUGUCCAAUGGCACUAUAUGUAAUUAGUCUAGGCAAGUAAGGGUUAUUCACUGAAUGAUAUGAUAAGAACUCUCAUGAUGACACAUAAGUAAUUGCAAUCUUGAUAAUAACACGUGAGGCAAAUGUUUAUUAUUUAGAAUGCUCCUCGGAUAAUAGUAAAGGGAUUUAAUUUAAUUUUGAAAAUAGUUAGGCCACUCAUGAUGAUUAGUACCGAGAUAUUUUCAUAAGUUAUAAUUAAAUUAAAUUUUGUAAAACAGUUAGGCCACUCAUGAGGACAAGUACAGAGAUAUUUUCAUUAGUUUCCAUAGCUUCUAAAUAAACGUUUUCAUCUUCUUCUUUUUUUUUGCUGAGAUACUUUUUGAAACCUUUUAAUUGAAAAGGUUUUCAAUAUAUAAUAAGAAACAAAAUUUAUUGUGACAUAAGGUAAACCAUGCGUAUAUACUAUGUAGCCACUGGCGGAUAUGAUGGCGAAGAAUUCAAAAUGUAGAUGGGGAAAUUACUUCAGUUCUAUUAGCUUCCCCAUCUCGAUAUGUUUAGAGGCUGAUCCAUUAGUGUACCUAUCAAAGGCUAAAUCAGCUAUGGAUCGGAAAAAAACACUCUCUUCUACCUGCUUUAGCAUUUUCGAGUACAGAAUUCAUCUUCAAUGCCUUCGGAGCUAAGUUAGGUGGGACAUUACUCAAACGUCUUGUUUCGAACACAACCACAUUCAUCUCAAACAUGAUUGGGCCUACCGAUGAAAUCAGUUUUCAUGGCCAUCCUAUUGUGUACAUCGCCCCAAGUGUCUAUGGACAUGCUCAUGUAAGUUUUUCUCCUUUUUUUGUUCAUUUCUCUUUAUCUUCUCAUAUCGAGUUUCUCUUCUUAUUUUUGUAUAGUCAAUGCCCAGAGCCGGUCCUACACAUUUUGAGACCACAAGCAAAUAAUAAAUAAAAGGCUGAAAAAUAAAACAUUCCGUAAGGAGGUUUGAACCCAGCCUCGUUGCAAUCCUUUGUGACAGCGUUACCACUAGACCAGAGGCACAUUUAUAGGAAUAUGUGGCCGAUAAAUUAGAUAAUAAUAUGACGGCCGAAAGCACAUGCUUCCUCCGCUUGUGUCAAGGGCCGGCACUGUCAAUGCCUAUACAAAAAUUUCUUAAGUUAUGCGGAAAAGAUGGUAAUCUCCAUUGCGGUCGACCCAAAUGUCAUACCAAGUCCCCACCAGCUUAGUGAUGAAAUAGAGGACUCUCUGAAAGCUAUCAAAGCCGCUCUCCUAGAAAGAGGAUUACUCUAGUAGUGUGGUAUUAUUUUUAUUUUCUAAUCUAUAUUUAAAAGUGGUAACGGGCAAUAAGACUUUUUUUGUAAACAUCAUUAACUAUUUGUUUGGACUGUAUAAAAACAGUCAUGAAAUUUGGAGCUCUUUUACAAUUACUAAAAUUUGGAGUUGAUAGCUCAAACACGGUACUACCAUUUAACUAUCAAAGAAAGUGCUGCGAGUAUUCUAAGUUCGGAGUGAGAGUCCACUGGCAUGGAACAAUAGAAAUACAGAUUUAUCUUUCUUCAAUCUCUUUUUUUCUGCAACACCUAAAGCCGCCGGAGAUUUGCAAGAUCAAACUCGCUUCGUACAGCUUCGAUAUCUCUGAUUCAGCAAUCAUCGAGCAGCCUCAAACGCCAGGUCCCUCCCUCGCCCUUCUGUAGACACUCGCGGUGUUUUGAUUUGCGAUGACGAUGUGGAGGUAGACAAAAAGUCGCUGGAGUUCGCGCUAUCCGUGUGGAAGUCGAACCUUGAUCGUUUAAUAGGGGUUGGAAGUUUUUGAUCAUACGAAGUUUGAUAAGUAGGUGAGGAAAGUAGCUGUCUCUGCAAUAGCACCAAGCUUGAAGCUUUAUGAAAAGCUCACUCUUGGAUGGAGCAUUCAUCUGAGCCAGGACAAGGACAAUAUGAUCAAGAUGGGGUUGGAUAUGAAGGGUUGGAGAGUGGUGGAUGUUCUUUCUCCAUAGAGUAUGUUUCUCGGGAGCAAGACUAUACCUAGGGCUGGGCAAAUAAACCGAACCCGAAAAUCUGAACCGAAUCCGAUCCGAUAAAAACGAAUCCGAACCGAUCUGAACCCGACGUAAAUACCGAAUGGAUCUUGUUUUGUGGUAUUUCGGGUUAUGGGUAUUAUCCGAACCGAACCCGAAUCUAAAUGGAUAUCCGAUAGAACCCAAAACAUUCAAAACCUCGAAAAGAUCUUGUACCAAACAUGAUCUCAAUUCCUAAUAUGUAUCCAAAAUACACUAAGAAAUAUUGAAAAUAUAAAAUACGUAUCUAUUACAUGAAGGUUGGUGGUUCUAUUACAUGAAGGAUGAUUGUUGAAGAUGGCCGUUGAAUUUUGAAGUAUUUAGAUUUAGAUUUUGUUUUCGUUAAACAAUGUUUCUCAUUUCAUGAGAACUUGGUUUUCGUUUUAUGUUUUUAUUUAUUUGGUUUUCUUUUUAUCAAUAAAUAUAUUUUACUUUUCGUUUGAUUUUGAAUGAUCACGGUUGAUAUUGCUUAUUUUUGAAUCGAUUUUACUUAAGUUUUGGUUACAAAAUAGGUACAAAUCAGGUAUUUUAAAACUAAAGAACCGAUUUUACUCAUGUUUUGGUUAUAAAAUAGGUAAAAAUCAGGUACUUUUAAACCGAAAAACCAAUUGGGACCCGAACCCGAAAGUAUAUUGGGUUGUACCGGUUCUUUGAAGAUUUACUAACCCCGACCCGAACCCGAUAGAACCCGAACCGAUCCCGAACCGAACUUUCAUAUAAUCCAAAUGGGACUGAUUUUGAUCAACCCGAAAAAUCGAAACCCGAUUGGAUAAAACCGAAACCCGAUUGGGACCCUAAAUGCCCAUGCCUAACUAUACCUUUAGCAUGGGGCAGUUAGAGGAAUCGAUUGAUAUUCAGGAUAUAUCAUCAUUCUCCUCUUUCUUACCCGCGGAUAACAACAGUGCACCGCCAACUUCUGGUUUUGGUGGGUUUUCUUUUGUUGGGGAACAACCUGAAUCAACACUCCCAUCUAUGCCAAGCUUUACCUUCUUUAGUCCGAGCCCAGCGACGACACAGAACAACAACACUCAUGAAACAAAUGAGAAACUUUGAGGGAGUAAGCAAAACUCCAGUGAAAAUAACACUGCAGCUUGAAGAAAUCCAGUGCUGCUCACUUAUCCUGAACUCAUUGAUGCUGCAGUCAUCCCGAGACAAGAAUUCAUGCUUCAGUUGGUGAAUAGCUCAUCAAAAAGUACGAAGACAGACUAACUGAGGGAGAUGCAGUGGUCGUCCAUUUAUUCAAAGUGUAUGAUGCUAUUGGUGAUUAUCAGACAACCACACAUCCGUACAAAAUUGGAUUUUUUCAGACAACUUUUGUUGGAAAAGCCGAUGAUAUUAUAACUUCUUAUCAUAUUUUAUCAACUUUUGUCGGAAUAUUCCAUAGUCAACGGUCAAUAACAGAGAUAAAAGAUGGAUUAUAGUUGACUACAAAGCCAUUUUCAAACUAUUUUGAUAAUGGUUUCUAUUAGAUUUUUUUAAUCAAGAAUUGUACUUUUAAUUUAUAUUACUUAUGGAUUAUAUUAUAACUUUUUUAUCAUAUUUUAGUUGACUGGUGCAAACUUCGUCAGUGUUUAUGGUUCAAACUUCCUCAGUGUUUAUGGUU